GUGCUGAAACGCACCCCUGAAGGAGGAUUUAGCAGUAAGCAGGAAAAAGAGCGUCCCGCUGAAACUGGCCCUGAAGCGCGCACACACCGCCCGUCACUCUCCCCAAAAACCCUCCCCAAUCAAUCUAACUUAAAACCAAACACCCAUAAAGGGGAGGCAAGUCGUAACAUGGUAAGUGUACCGGAAGGUGCGCUUGGUCAAUC
rnacentral:rRNA from 1 species